AUGAACGCUGGCGGCGUGCCUAAUACAUGCAAGUCGAGCGCACAGACGAGGAGCUUGCUCCUCUGACGUUAGCGGCGGACGGGUGAGUAACACGUGGAUAACCUACCUAUAAGACUGGGAUAACUUCGGGAAACCGGAGCUAAUACCGGAUAAUAUAUUGAACCGCAUGGUUCAAUAGUGAAAGACGGUUUUGCUGUCACUUAUAGAUGGAUCCGCGCCGCAUUAGCUAGUUGGUAAGGUAACGGCUUACCAAGGCGACGAUGCGUAGCCGACCUGAGAGGGUGAUCGGCCACACUGGAACUGAGACACGGUCCAGACUCCUACGGGAGGCAGCAGUAGGGAAUCUUCCGCAAUGGGCGAAAGCCUGACGGAGCAACGCCACGUGAGUGAUGAAGGUCUUCGGAUCGUAAAACUCUGUUAUUAGGGAAGAACAAAUGUGUAAGUAACUAUGCACGUCUUGACGGUACCUAAUCAGAAAGCCACGGCUAACUACGUG
rnacentral:rRNA from 1 species